rnacentral:rRNA from 1 species
UACGUAGGGACCAAGCGUUGUUCGGAUUUACUGGGCGUAAAGGGCGCGUAGGCGGCAAUUCAAGUCAGCUGUGAAAUCUCCGGGCUUAACUCGGAACGGUCAGCUGAUACUGCUUUGCUAGAGUACAGAAGGGGCAAUCGGAAUUCUUGGUGUAGCGGUGAAAUGCGUAGAUAUCAAGAGGAACACCUGAGGUGAAGACGGGGUUGCUGGGCUGAUACUGACGCUGAGGCGCGAAAGCUAGGGUAGCAAACGGG